GGGUGAGUAACACGUGGGCAACCUGCCUUGUAGACUGGGAUAACUCCGGGAAACCGGAGCUAAUACCGGAUGAUCAACGGAAUCGCAUGAUUCUGUUGUAAAAGUGGGGAGUAAUCCUCACACUACGAGAUGGGCCCGCGGCGCAUUAGCUAGUUGGUAAGGUAAUGGCUUACCAAGGCAACGAUGCGUAGCCGACCUGAGAGGGUGAUCGGCCACACUGGAACUGAGACACGGUCCAGACUCCUACGGGAGGCAGCAGUAGGGAAUCAUCCGCAAUGGGCGAAAGCCUGACGGUGCAACGCCGCGUGAACGAUGAAGGUUUUCGGAUCGUAAAGUUCUGUUAUGAGGGAAGAACAAGUGCCGUUCAAAUAGGGCGGCACCUUGACGGUACCUCACGAGAAAGCCCCGGCUAACUACGUGCCAGCAGCCGCGGUAAUACGUAGGGGGCAAGCGUUGUCCGGAAUUAUUGGGCGUAAAGCGCGCGCAGGCGGUCUCUUAAGUCUGAUGUGAAAGCCCACGGCUCAACCGUGGAGGGUCAUUGGAAACUGGGAGACUUGAGUGUAGGAGAGGAAAGUGGAAUUCCACGUGUAGCGGUGAAAUGCGUAGAUAUGUGGAGGAACACCAGUGGCGAAGGCGACUUUCUGGCCUACAACUGACGCU
rnacentral:rRNA from 1 species